rnacentral:rRNA from 1 species
UACGAAGGGGGCUAGCGUUGCUCGGAAUCACUGGGCGUAAAGGGUGCGUAGGCGGGUAUUUAAGGCAGGGGUGAAAUCCUGGAGCUCAACUCCAGAACUGCCUUUGAUACUGAAGAUCUUGAGUUCGGGAGAGGUGAGUGGAACUGCGAGUGUAGAGGUGAAAUUCGUAGAUAUUCGCAAGAACACCAGUGGCGAAGGCGGCUCACUGGCCCGAUACUGACGCUGAGGCACGAAAGCGUGGGGAGCAAACAGG